rnacentral:rRNA from 1 species
GGGGCAGCACGAGGUAGCAAUACUUUGGUGGCGACCGGCGCACGGGUGAGUAACGCGUAUGCAACCUACCCUGUACAGGGGGAUAGCCCGGAGAAAUUCGGAUUAAUACCCCAUAAAGAUAUCGAGAGGCAUCUUUUGAUAUUUAAAGACUUAUCGGUACGGGAUGGGCAUGCGUAACAUUAGCUAGUUGGUAAGGUAACGGCUUACCAAGGCAACGAUGUUUAGGGGUCCUGAGAGGGUGAUCCCCCACACUGGUACUGAGACACGGACCAGACUCCUACGGGAGGCAGCAGUGAGGAAUAUUGGUCAAUGGGCGUAAGCCUGAACCAGCCAUCCCGCGUGCAGGAAGACGGCGCUAUGCGUUGUAAACUGCUUUUCCAGGGGAAGAAAACUCUCGUCGUGACGAGACUUGCCGGUACCUUGGGAAUAAGCAUCGGCUAACUCCGUGCCAGCAGCCGCGGUAAUACGGAGGAUGCGAGCGUUAUCCGGAUUUAUUGGGUUUAAAGGGUGCGUAGGCGGAUUAAUAAGUCAGUGGUGAAAGCCUGCGGCUUAACCGUAGAAAUGCCAUUGAUACUGUUAUUCUUGAGUAUAGUUGAGGUGGGCGGAAUGUGUAAUGUAGCGGUGAAAUGCUUAGAUAUUACACAGAACACCAAUUGCGAAGGCAGCUCACUAAGCUGUUACUGACGCUGAGGCACGAAAGCGUGGGGAGCAAACAGGAUUAGAUACCCUGGUAGUCCACGCCGUAAACGAUGAUCACUCGUUGUUGGCGAUACACCGUCAGCGACUGAGCGAAA